GGAGGGUGCAAGCGUUACUCGGAAUCACUGGGCGUAAAGAGCGUGUAGGCGGGUUGAUAAGUUUGAAGUGAAAUCCUAUAGCUUAACUAUAGAACUGCUUUGAAAACUGUUAACCUAGAAUAUGGGAGAGGUAGAUGGAAUUUCUGGUGUAGGGGUAAAAUCCGUAGAGAUCAGAAGGAAUACCGAUUGCGAAGGCGAUCUACUGGAACAUUAUUGACGCUGAGACGCGAAAGCGUGGGUAGCAAAC
rnacentral:rRNA from 1 species